rnacentral:rRNA from 1 species
UACGAGAGGGGCUAGCGUUGUUCGGAAUUACUGGGCGUAAAGCGCACGUAGGCGGACCUGAAAGUUGGGGGUGAAAUCCCGGAGCUCAACUCCGGAACUGCCUUUGAAACUGCUGAUCUGGAGGAUGCGGGAGGUGAGUGGAAUUCCGAGUGUAGAGGUGAAAUUCGUAGAUAUUCGGAAGAACACCAGUGGCGAAGGCGGCUCACUGGCGCAUUUCUGACGCUGAGGUGCGAAAGCGUGGGGAGCAAACAGG